rnacentral:rRNA from 1 species
ACAACCUGAUCCCUUCCCGAACUCAGAAGUGAAACCUCUUAGCGCUGAUGGUAGUGUGGGAUUACCCAUGUGAGAGUAAGUCAUCGCCAGCU